GCAUGGGGUAUGGAUACUUCUUUGUGCUGUUGUUUAUUUUCAAUCAUUCCUCUUCACAGAUACUGUUUUUCUAUCCCCCAGGUCAACAAACUCUCUUUUCAGGGCAGACGUCUGCUGGAUCCAUGUCAACACUCGAAAGGCUGAGAGGGGGUCUGGAUUCCCUGAUGCGCCCAAGAGCCUCCAUCCUGGGUCCAACCGGGCUAUCAGUUUCUCUGUCCUCUAAGAAGCCUGAGCAGGUGAGCACAGAGGAUGGGACUGCUCACAGGCCAUCUGUCACCUCUGCUUUUCUUGCCACAUUUCUGGCCAGAGGCCCAGCCCACCCACAGGAUUUCUCUCUCUCUCUGCACACAGCACUGUCAUGAAGAAUGAAAGUUGAAUAAUCAAAGCAAUAUGAUAUUGUCAUAAAAAAUAGACACACAGAUUAGUGGGACUGAGCCCAGGGACCAGAAAUAAACCCAUGGAUAUAUGGUCAAUUAAUUUAUAACAGAGGAGCUAUACCUUGGAGAAAGAAGAGUCUGUUCAAUACACCUGGACAAUCACAUGCAAAAGAAUGAAACUGAACCAUUCUUACACCAUACACAAAAAUUAACUCAAUGGAUUAAAGGCCUGAGUGAAAUAACUGAAACCACAAAACUCCCAGAAGAAAACAAAGGCAGUAACCUCCUGGAGCAGUCUUAGUGAUGAAUUUUGG
rnacentral:lncRNA from 1 species